ACCAGCAGCCAUAUCACCUUGCAUCUCACAACUGGCAACCCACUGAAGCUAAGCAGACAUGAGCCUGGCCAGUCUCUGGAUGGGAGACCUCCUGGGAGCAACUGAGGUUGCUGCUGGAA
rnacentral:rRNA from 1 species